GACACUCCAAAAUGCAGCUAGGAUUUCCACAUUUUCACGUGUUAGUGUUGAAAUUAUUUUUACUUCAGGAAACCAAGGGUUGGACAAUGGCUUCCAGACUUUCUCCUUUCAUUAUGCUCCUUCAGCGCCUUAUGCAAAUACCGGUUGUCUUAUGCUGCCAUUCGUCUCCUCUGCCAGAAUGUGAGCUCCAGGACAGCAGGGAUAAGAAUGCAUUCGUUUUUGUAUCUGCAGUACCUUGGAGAGUGUCUGACACAUAGUGGGCACUCAUUUUAAAACUGCCAAAUGAAUCAUUAAGGUGACCAAAAACAGGGUGGGGAAAAUACAUCCAUCAGACAACAGGGAAAUAUUUCUUAAAAAAAAAAAAAUUCCCAAAACUAGCUUUUCCCUCUUUAUGUGUCUGAAAUAUCUCAUAAAUUUUUAAACUAUCCCUUUCAGCACAAAUCUGCCUGGAGCUGUUUCCUGAACACAGGACCAAAAGGCAGGAAUCAAAAGUAAUAAUGAGUUUAGUUAUCUGUCUGUCACUGAAGGUGACUUCUAGAGCAUCCUCCUGGCAUUGCUUCUGGAAUACAGUGACUUAGACUUCUUCUGAAGAACAUCUCUAUGCUGUUCAUCAUAUCGCCAGCACCUAGCCCUGUGCCUGUGCAUAGUAAAUGCUCAGAAAAGAAAAAACAACAAAGUUUCCAGCUCUUACUCUAGAUUGACACUGGACCUUGGAGAUGCUUGCAGCCACUAAAUGUAAUGCCACAUGAUUGUUGACCCAACAAUAAUCCAGUUAAAAAACAGUCUUCAGAGUUACUACAUCAUCAGAAUUAACCCUGAUUACAUCAAAUUAUGUUGAAACAGACCACAGCUGUUUGCCCUGUUGAAGCAACUGCUUGAGAGCUCCUCCGGAAGAUACAUCUGGGUGUCACUAAGAUACAUUUUGGGUUUAAUUUUGUUUCUCAACACAAAUGUAGGAGGGAAACAAACCCUGUUCUGCUGGGGUGCUUGGUGGGAGCUGAAAACCUUGUGAUUCUCCAGCAGUCAAAAGUCAUCUCAAUUACCAAAGAGAAGGGAACCUGAGAUCUUUUGUUUCAGUUUUCUAUAGGAAGGAUGUAAGAGGAAGGAAAUUCAAAUCUGUUGAGUAUUGCUCUUGCCAGCAAAAAGAAGUGGAACUGACUAGUGAGAAGGUGGUGGGAUUUUCUUUGGUGGCUGUAUGCAGUGGUAUCAACCCAGGAGAGUAGACUGUUCAGUUGUGAAGAAUUUUGCAAGACGGUUGUUAUAAUAUCAUUAAAAUUAAGUUGUAAUAAAAAAAGGGAAAUAUGCAUUGGAAAAGAUGUGGACAGAUUGGAACCCUCAUACAUUGCUGAUGGGAAUGUAAAAUGGUGUAGCCACUGUGGAAAAAAGUUCAGCAGUUCCUUAAAAAGUUAAACAGUGUCACCAUAUGACUCAGCAUUUUCACUCCUAGAUAGAUACCUAGAUCGAAAACAUAUGUCCACACAAAAACUUGUACAGGAAUGAUCGCAAUAGCAUUAUUCAUAAUAGCCAAAAACUGGAAACAACUGUAAUGUUCAUGAGCUGAUGAAUGGAUAAAAUGCGGUAUAUAAAGAACUGUUAAGUGCUUCAACAUGGAUGAAACUUGAAAACAUUAUACAAAGCGAAAGAGGUUAGACACACGAGGUCACAUAUUGUAUGAAUAUGGUUAUGUGAAACGUCUAGAAUUGGCAAUCCAUAGAGAUGAAAAGUAGGUUAGCAGUUGCCAGCGGAUGGGAUUGGGGGAAUGGAGAGUUAAUGCUAAUGGAUAUGGUGUUUCUUUUGGGGUAAUGAAAAUGUUCUGGAAUUAGAUAGCUGUGAUGGUUGUCAAAGUUGAUGAAUAUAUUAGAAACCAUGAAUUAUAAACUUUAACAUGGUGACUUUUGUGAUGUGUGAAUAUCUUAAUUAAAAAAUUAAGAUA